UGGGGAAUCUUGGACAAUGGGCGCAAGCCUGAUCCAGCCAUGCCGCGUGAGUGACGAAGGCCUUAGGGUUGUAAAGCUCUUUUGGCGGGGAAGAUAAUGACGGUACCCGCAGAAUAAGCUCCGGCUAACUUCGUGCCAGCAGCCGCGGUAAUACGAAGGGAGCUAGCGUUGUUCGGAAUCACUGGGCGUAAAGCGCACGUAGGCGGAUUGUUUAGUCAGGGGUGAAAUCCGUAGAUAUUGGGAGGAAUACCGGUGGCGAAGGCGGCCUUCUGGACGGUGACUGACACUCAGACGCGAAAGCGUGGGGAGCAAACAGGAUUAGAUACCAUGUAGUCCCUGAGCGGGCUGGCAAGGCGCAU
rnacentral:rRNA from 1 species